rnacentral:rRNA from 1 species
AUUGAACGCUAGCGGGAUGCUUUACACAUGCAAGUCGAACGAGUGGCGGACGGGUGAGUAAUAUAUCGGAACGUGCCCAGUAGCGGGGGAUCACUACUCGAAAGAGUGGCUAAUACCGCAUAUAAUGGGAGUGGACGUUAUCGGAUUAGCUAGUUGGUGGGGUAAAGGACCACCAAGGCAACGACCCGUAGCUGGUUGGAGAGGACGACCAGCCACACGGGGACUGAGACACGGCCCAGACUCCUACGGGAGGCAGCAGUGGGGAAUUUUGGACAAUGGGGGAAACCCUGAUCCAGCCAUCCCGCGUGUAUGAGAAGGCCUUCGGGUUGUAAAGUACUUUUGGCAGAGAAGCGGUAUCUGCAGAAUAAGCACCGGCUAACUACGUGCCAGCAGCCGCGGUAAUUC